CGUGAAAUUGUUGAAAGGGAAGCGCUUGCAAUCAGACUUGCACUUGGUGUUCAUCAGGGUCUCGUACCCUGUGUACUUCAUCAAGUUCAGGCCAGCAUCAGUUUGAGUGGUUAGAUAAAGGCUUAGAGAAUGUGGCCCUCUUCGGGGGGUGUUAUAGCUCUAGGUGCAAUGUAGCCUACUUGGACUGAGGACCGCGCUUCGGCUAGGAUGCUGGCGUAAUGGUUGUAAGCGACCCGUCUUGAAACACGG
rnacentral:rRNA from 2 species